rnacentral:rRNA from 1 species
GACAGAGGGUGCAAACGUUGUUCGGAAUUACUGGGCAUAAAGCGCACGUAGGUGGUCCGCUAAGUCGCGUGUGAAAUCCCUCGGCUCAACCGAGGAAUUGCGGGCGAUACUGGCGGGCUAGAGAUCGGGAGGGGUGAGUGGAACUCCAGGUGGAGCGGUGAAAUGCGUAGAUAUCUGGAGGACCACCGGUGGCGAAAGCGACUCACUGGCCCGACACUGACACUGAGGUGCGAAAGCUAGGGUAGCAAACGGG